UACGGAGGAUCCGAGCGUUAUCCGGAUUUAUUGGGUUUAAAGGGUGCGCAGGCGGGGGAUUAAGUCGGCGGUGAAAUUUUGCAGCUCAACUGUAAAAGUGCCUUCGAAACUGGUUUCCUUGAGUGUAGAUGAAGUAGGCGGAAUUUGUGGUGUAGCGGUGAAAUGCAUAGAUAUCACGAGGAACUCCGAUUGCGCAGGCAGCUUACUAAACCAUAACUGACGCUCAGGCACGAAGGCGUGGGGAUCAAACAGGAUUAGAUACCCGUGUAGU
rnacentral:rRNA from 1 species